AUUGAACGCUGGCGGCAGGCCUAACACAUGCAAGUCGAACGGUAACAGGAAGAAGCUUGCUUCUUUGCUGACGAGUGGCGGACGGGUGAGUAAUGUCUGGGAAACUGCCUGAUGGAGGGGGAUAACUACUGGAAACGGUAGCUAAUACCGCAUAACGUCGCAAGACCAAAGAGGGGGACCUUCGGGCCUCUUGCCAUCGGAUGUGCCCAGAUGGGAUUAGCUAGUAGGUGGGGUAACGGCUCACCUAGGCGACGAUCCCUAGCUGGUCUGAGAGGAUGACCAGCCACACUGGAACUGAGACACGGUCCAGACUCCUACGGGAGGCAGCAGUGGGGAAUAUUGCACAAUGGGCGCAAGCCUGGUGCAGCCAUGCCGCGUGUAUGAAGAAGGCCUUCGGGUUGUAAAGUACUUUCAGCGGGGAGGAAGGGAGUAAAGUUAAUACCUUUGCUCAUUGACGUACCCGCAGAA
rnacentral:rRNA from 1 species